AAUGCGUAGGGGGCAAGCGUUGUCCGGAAUUAUUGGGCGUAAAGCGCGCGCAGGCGGUCUUUUAAGUCUGGUGUUAAAGCCCGGGGCUCAACCCCGGUUCGCACUGGAAACUGGGAGACUUGAGUGUAGGAGAGGAAAGUGGAAUUCCACGUGUAGCGGUGAAAUGCGUAGAGAUGUGGAGGAACAUCAGUAGCGAAGGCGACUUUCUGGCCUAUAACUGACGCUGAGGCGCGAAAGCGUGGGGAGCAAACAGGA
rnacentral:rRNA from 1 species